rnacentral:rRNA from 1 species
AUACGGAGGAUGCGAGCGUUAUCCGGAUUUAUUGGGUUUAAAGGGUGCGUAGGCUGUGCGUUAAGUCAGGGGUGAAAUGCCGUCGCUCAACGACGGAGCUGCCCUUGAUACUGGCGUGCUGGAGUACGGAUGCCGUUGGAGGAAUGAGUGGUGUAGCGGUGAAAUGCUUAGAUAUCACUCAGAACACCGAUUGCGAAGGCAUCUGACGAAUCCGUCACUGACGCUGAGGCACGAAAGCGUGGGGAUAGAACAGGAUUAGAUACCCUGGUAUUCCACGCCGUAAACGAUGAUGACUAACCGUCGGCGAUAGACAGCCGGUGGCCAAGCGAAAGCGAUAAGUCAUCCACCUGGGGAGUGCGUCGGCAACGAUGAAACUCAAAUGAAUUGACGGGG